rnacentral:rRNA from 1 species
AAUUUUGGGCAAUGGGCGCAAGCCUGUUCCAGCCAUGCCGCGUGAGUGAAGAAGGCCNNNGGGUUNUCAAGCUCUUUCGGACGNAACNAAAUCGCGCAGGCUAAGACCCUGCGCGGAUCACGAUACCGUCAUAAGAAACACCGGCUAACUACGUCCCAGCAGCCGCGGUAAUACGUAGGGUGCGAGGGUUAAUCGGAAUUCCUGGGCGUAAAGCGUACGCAGGCGGUUGAUUAAGACAGGCGUGAAAUCCCAGGGCUUAACCUGGGAACUGCGAUUGGGACUGGUCAGCUAGAGUACGGCAGAGGGGGGUGGAAUUCCACGUGUAGCAGUGAAAUGCGUAGAGAUGUGGAGGAACACCGAUGGCGAAGGCAGCCCCCUGGGCCGAUACUGACGCUCAUGCACGAAAGCGUGGGUAGCAAACAGG